rnacentral:rRNA from 1 species
UACGUAGGGAGCGAGCGUUGUCCGGAUUUACUGGGUGUAAAGGGUGCGCAGGCGGCUCUGCAAGUCAGGCGUGAAAGCUAGGGGCUCAACCCCUAAACUGCGCUUGAAACUGUGGAGCUUGAGUGAAGUAGAGGCAGGCGGAAUUCCCGGUGUAGCGGUGAAAUGCGUAGAGAUCGGGAGGAACACCAGUGGCGAAGGCGGCCUGCUGGGCUUUAACUGACGCUCAGGCACGAAAGCAUGGGUAGCAAACA